rnacentral:rRNA from 1 species
GACGAACGCUGGCGGCGUGCUUAACACAUGCAAGUCGAACGCUGAAGCUCAGCUUUUGUUGGGUGGAUGAGUGGCGAACGGGUGAGUAACACGUGAGUAACCUGCCCCCUUCUUUGGGAUAACGCCCGGAAACGGGUGCUAAUACUGGAUAUUCACUGGUCUUCGCAUGGGGGUUGGUGGAAAGGGUUUUUCUGGUGGGGGAUGGGCUCGCGGCCUAUCAGCUUGUUGGUGGGGUGAUGGCCUACCAAGGCUUUGACGGGUAGCCGGCCUGAGAGGGUGACCGGGAACAGUGGGACUGAGAUACGGCCCAGACUCGUACGGGAGGCAGCAGUGGGGAAUAUUGCACAAUGGGCGCAAGCCUGAUGCAGUGACGCCGCGGGAGGGAUGGAGGCCGUCGGGUUGUGAACCUCUUUCGCUAAUGGUCAAGCCGCAACAAUGGUUGUGGUGAGGGUAGUGGGUAAAGAAGCGCCGGCUAACUACGUG